CUGUUAAUGGGAAAAAGUCAAAGUCUCUUGCGUCUUUCGAAGCAACUGCUGCAGUUAAGACAACAGUGUCGCCAUAGCGAACUAAAACAGCACCAUUUGCUUGUUUAGCUAAUUGACCGAUCUCGACUUGUAGCGGUCGUCCGCCCCAUGUUGUUUUGAAUACUUGUUUUUCUGACAUGUAUCGAUUCUCCUUUAUUCUUUGGAAAAGUCAGACAGCUACUAAACAAAUGAAAAGAUUCAAAAAUUUGAGUCCUUUUAUUUGGUUAGUAGAUUUAUGUAACCUUUCCAAAGAUCCGAUUAUUUUAGUAUUUUCAAGGAUACUGAACCUUUUUAAAUAGACUAAAAAGCCAAAAAUGGCGAGUCAG
rnacentral:antisense_RNA from 1 species